rnacentral:rRNA from 1 species
UACGUAGGGCGCAAGCGUUGUCCGGAAUUAUUGGGCGUAAAGAGCUCGUAGGCGGCCUGUUACGUCUGCUGUGAAAUCCCGGGGCUUAACCCCGGGCGUGCAGUGGAUACGGGCAGGCUGGAGGCAGACAGGGGAGAACGGAAUUCCCGGUGUAGCGGUGAAAUGCGCAGAUAUCAGGAGGAACACCGAUGGCGAAGGCAGGUCUCUGGGCCACUACUGACGCUGAGAAGCGAAAGCAUGGGGAGCAAACAGG